rnacentral:rRNA from 1 species
UGGCGCACGGGUGCGUAACGCGUAACCAACCUACCCGAAUCUGGGGGAUAGCCCGCCGAAAGGCGGAUUAAUACCGCAUAAAACUGCAGCACGGCAUCGUGUCACAGUUAAAGAUUUAUUGGAUUCGGAUGGGGUUGCGUGCCAUUAGCUAGUUGGGGGGGUAACGGCCCACCAAGGCGACGAUGGCUAGGGGAGCUGAGAGGCUGGUCCCCCACACGGGCACUGAGAUACGGGCCCG